GAUGAACGCUGGCGGCGUGCUUAACACAUGCAAGUCGAACGGGAAUUACUUUAUUGAAACUUCGGUCGAUUUAAUUUAAUUCUAGUGGCGGACGGGUGAGUAACGCGUGGGUAACCUGCCUUAUACAGGGGGAUAACAGUCAGAAAUGGCUGCUAAUACCGCAUAAGCGCACAGAGCUGCAUGGCUCAGUGUGAAAAACUCCGGUGGUAUAAGAUGGACCCGCGUUGGAUUAGCUAGUUGGUGGGGUAACGGCCCACCAAGGCGACGAUCCAUAGCCGGCCUGAGAGGGUGAACGGCCACAUUGGGACUGAGACACGGCCCAGACUCCUACGGGAGGCAGCAGUGGGGAAUAUUGCACAAUGGGGGAAACCCUGAUGCAGCGACGCCGCGUGAAGGAAGAAGUAUCUCGGUAUGUAAACUUCUAUCAGCAGGGAAGAUAGUGACGGUACCUGACUAAGAAGCCCCGGCUAACUACGUGCCAGCAGCCGCGGUAAUACGUAGGGGGCAAGCGUUAUCCGGAUUUACUGGGUGUAAAGGGAGCGUAGACGGUGUGGCAAGUCUGAUGUGAAAGGCAUGGGCUCAACCUGUGGACUGCAUUGGAAACUGUCAUACUUGAGUGCCGGAGGGGUAAGCGGAAUUCCUAGUGUAGCGGUGAAAUGCGUAGAUAUUAGGAGGAACACCAGUGGCGAAGGCGGCUUACUGGACGGUAACUGACGUUGAGGCUCGAAAGCGUGGGGAGCAAACAAA
rnacentral:rRNA from 1 species